GGUCUGGUGGUGUAGUUGGAAACACGUCCCCUUCAUGUUCGCAAAUAUUCCUUCAUGAUGAUGAGGAAGUCCCUCGCUCGAAUCAAGGCUAGGCCG